rnacentral:rRNA from 1 species
UGCAAGUCGAACGAGGUGAUUGAAAGCUUGCUUUGAGAACCGAGUGGCAAACGGGUGAGUAACGCGUAGACAACCUGCCGCAAAGAUGGGGACAACAGUCCGAAAGGACUGCUAAUACCGAAUGUUGUGCAAUCUCCGCAUGGAGGAUGCAUUAAAGAUGGCCUCUACUUGUAAGCUAUCGCUUUGCGAUGGGUCUGCGUCUGAUUAGGUAGUUGGUGAGGUAACGGCCCACCAAGCCGACGAUCAGUAGCCGGUCUGAGAGGAUGAACGGCCACACUGGAACUGAGACACGGUCCAGACUCCUACGGGAGGCAGCAGUGGGGAAUCUUCCGCAAUGGGCGAAAGCCUGACGGAGCAACGCCGCGUGAGUGAUGACGGCCUUCGGGUUGUAAAGCUCUGUGAUCGGGGACGAACGGUCAGCAGACGAAUACUCUGCUGAAGUGACGGUACCCGAAUAGCAAGCCACGGCUAACUACGUG